rnacentral:rRNA from 1 species
UGCCAGCAGCCGCGGUAAUACGAAGGGUGCUAGCGUUGUUCGGAAUUACUGGGCGUAAAGAGCAUGUAGGCGGAUGAAUUAGUCAGAGGUGAAAUCCCAGGGCUCAACCCUGGAACUGCCCUCGAUACUGUUUAUCUAGAGUCCGAGAGAGGUUAGUGGAAUUCCCAGUGUAGAGGUGAAAUUCGUAGAUAUUGGGAAGAACACCAGUGGCGAAGGCGGCUAACUGGCUCGGUACUGACGCUGAGAUGCGAAAGCGUGGGGAGCGAACAGGAUUAGAUA